rnacentral:rRNA from 1 species
AACACAUGCAAGUCGAACGAGAGAUGAGGAGCUUGCUCUUCAAAUCGAGUGGCGAACGGGUGAGUAACGCGUGAGGAACCUGCCUCAAAGAGGGGGACAACAGUUGGAAACGACUGCUAAUACCGCAUAAGCCCACGGCUCGGCAUCGAGCAGAGGGAAAAGGAGCAAUCCGCUUUGAGAUGGCCUCGCGUCCGAUUAGCUAGUUGGUGAGGUAAUGGCCCACCAAGGCGACGAUCGGUAGCCGGACUGAGAGGUUGAACGGCCACAUUGGGACUGAGACACGGCCCAGACUCCUACGGGAGGCAGCAGUGGGGAAUAUUGCGCAAUGGGGGAAACCCUGAUGCAGCGACGCCGCGUGGAGGAAGAAGGUCUUCGGAUUGUAAACUCCUGUUGUUGAGGAAGAUAAUGACGGUACUCAACAAGGAAGUGACGGCUAACUACGUGCCAGCAGCCGCGGUAAAACGUAGGUCACAAGCGUUGUCCGGAAUUACUGGGUGUAAAGGGAGCGCAGGCGGGAGAACAAGUUGGAAGUGAAAUCCAUGGGCUCAACCCAUGAACUGCUUUCAAAACUGUUUUUCUUGAGUAGUGCAGAGGUAGGCGGAAUUCCCGGUGUAGCGGUGGAAUGCGUAGAUAUCGGGAGGAACACCAGUGGCGAAGGCGG